rnacentral:ncRNA from 1 species
UUGUUUUAUCCUGCACAAAUGCCUUUUUUCUAGGUUAAUUUUUGGUAAGAGUCCUUUGCAGUCUGUUCCUGUUACCUAGUCCUUGAAAAGCAAGGGCACAGUUCCCUGGAAAGGGAGCCUGAGAAGUGGCUAUCACAUCCAAGGAAGGCAGCAGGCGCGCAAAUUACCCAUUCCCGACCUGGGGACGUAGUGACGAAAAAUAACAAUACAGGACUCUUUCGAGGCCCUGUAACUGGAAUGAGUGCACUUUAAAUCCUUGAGCGAAGAUCCAUUGGAGGGCAAGUCUGGUGCCAGCAGCCACGGUAAUUCCAGCUCCAAUAGCGUAUCUUAAAGUUGCUGCAGUUAAAAAGCUCGUAGUUGGAUCUUGGGAUCGAGCUGGCGGUCUGCCGUGAGGCGAGCCACCACCUGUCCCAGCCCCUGCCUCUCGGUGCCUCCUCAAUGCUCUUAGCUGAGUGUCCCGCGGGGCCCAAAGCGUUUACUUUGAGAAAAUUAGAGUGUUCAAAGCAGGCCGACCGCUGCCAUACUGCAGCUAGGAAUAAUGGAAUAGGACUCCGGUUCUAUUUUGUUGGUAUUUUUUUACCUGAAAGAAGGUUGUAGCGAGGUGGGUGUCGGUCUCUUUUCCCAAGUAACUAGUGAUAAGAUGAGAGGAAAUGGCCUCAA